GUGCACAAGGGAGCUUGACUGUGAGACCGCCGGGCCAAGCAGGGACGAAAGUCGGGACUAGUGAUCCGGGGGGGGCUUGUGGAAGCCCCGUCGCUAAAGGGAUAAAAGGUACCCCGGGGAUAACAGGCUGAUCUUCCCCAAGAGUCCAUAUCGACGGGUUGGUUUGGCACCUCGAUGUCGGCUCGUCGGAUUCUGGGGCUGGAGCCGGUUCCAAGGGUUGGGCUGUUCGCCCAUUAAAGCGGUACGCGAGCUGGGUUUAGAACGUCGUGAGACAGUUCGGUCCCUAUCCGCUGUGCGCGUAGGAAUAUU
rnacentral:rRNA from 1 species